CUCUCCUGAGAGCUAGACUGACAAACCUAUUACCUGACGGAACUUUGCUCAUGUGGGCUCCGAGGAAAAGUUGCCUAACUCAGAAGUCAGCAAAUCUCACGUGUGUUUCUGACUGAGCUCCAAACCCUGAGGCAAAGCAGGUGCUGGAUGGCUGGGCUGGAUGGCAAUCUUGAACAACAACAUCCUGUGCUUAACUCAGUUAUCACUCAUCACACCUCCUGAUACUCAGUCAUUUUCUCCAGACUAAACUUCUGAACCUCAAAUUCUUUCCUUAAGAUUGACAGAAAGAAGGCUGAUGAUGAGUGAAAAAGGCCCUACACAGCUGGGUCACAGGCUACUUCUUCGGCCUCACCUCUUACCACUGCCCCUUCCUUCACUGUCCUCCAGCCACAGUGACCUCUUUCCCGGUCCUUUGAACUUGCCAAGCACCUUCCCUUCUCAGGGUCUUUGCCUUUGCUAGUGUUUCUGCAUGAAACUCUUUUCCCAGAUAGCCACAGGACUGGCUCAUUCUCAUCCUUCAGAUCUCUGCUUAAACGUUAGUUUCUCUGGGAGGUCUUUUCUGGCCACUAUAACUAAAAUAGCACACUGCCUCCUCACUUCCUGCUCCUUUACUUUUCCUAGCGGCAGUUAUAC